rnacentral:rRNA from 1 species
GAUGAACGCUGGCGGCGUGCCUAAUACAUGCAAGUCGAGCGGACGGACGAGAAGCUUGCGGCUCUGAUGUUAGCGGCGGGCGGGUGAGUAACACGUGGAUAACCUACCUAUAAGACUGGGAUAACUUCGGGAAACCGGAGCUAAUACCGGAUAAUAUUUUGAACCGCAUGGGUGAAAAGUGAAAGACGGUCUUGCUGGCACGUAUAGAUGGAUCCGCGCUGCAUUAGCUAGUUGGUAAGGUAACGGCUUACCAAGGCAAGGAGGCAUAGCCGAGCUGAGAGGGUGAUCGGCCACAUGGGAACUGAGACACGCUCCAGAGUCCUACGGGAGGCAGCAGUAGGGAAUGUUCCGCAAUGGGCGAAAGCCUUACGGAGCAACGCCGCGUGAGUUACGACGGUGCUCGGAUCGUAAAACUCUGCUACUAGUUAAGAACAUCUGUGUAAGUAACUGUGGCCUUCUUGACGGUACCGAAUCAGAAAGCCCCGGCUAACUACGUG